CCACAUCACGUUGAAACACCGUUUCCAGUACCAUCACCGAAGUUAAGCAACGUCGAGUCUGAUCAGUACGUAGAUGGGUGACCGCUUGAGAAUACCAUGUGCGGUA